rnacentral:rRNA from 1 species
CCUACGGGGGGCAGCAGUCGGGAAUAUUGCGCAAUGGAGGAAACUCUGACGCAGUGACGCCGCGUGCAGGAAGAAGGUUUUCGAAUUGUAAACUCCUUUUGUUAGAGAAGAUAAUGACGGUAUCUAACGAAUAAGCACCGGCUAACUCCGUGCCAGCAGCCGCGGUAAUACGGAGGGUGCAAGCGUUACUCGGAAUCACUGGGCGUAAAGAGCGCGUAGGCGGGAUAGCAAGUCAGAUGUGAAAUCCUAUGGCUUAACCAUAGAACUGCAUUUGAAACUGUUAUUCUAGAGUAUGGGAGAGGUAGGUGGAAUUCUUGGUGUAGGGGUAAAAUCCGUAGAGAUCAAGAGGAAUACUCAUUGCGAAGGCGACCUGCUAGAACAUAACUGACGCUGAUGCGCGAAAGCGUGGGGAGCAAACAGGAUUAGAUACCCGGGUAGUC